rnacentral:tRNA from 1 species
GAGGGGAUAGCUCAGUGGUAGAGUGCAUGCUUAGCAUGCAUGAGGUCCUGGGUUCAAUCCCCAGUACCUCCU